rnacentral:lncRNA from 1 species
AGUUCAAGAUCAAAAUCACCAGUGAGCUUGUGAGCAAUGGAGUCCAGAUCUAUCAGUUCCCCACAGAUGAUGAGUCGGUGGCCGAGAUCAAUGGAACCAUGAAUGCCCACCUGCCGUUUGCUGUUGUUGGCAGCACAGAAGAAGUGAAGAUAGGGAACAAGAUGAUGCGAGCUCGGCAGUAUCCUUGGGGGACCGUGCAGGUUGAAAAUGAGGCCCACUGCGACUUUGUGAAGCUGCGGGAGAUGCUGAUUCGAAUCAACAUGGAGGAUCUGCGGGAGCAGACCCAUGCCCGGCACUACGAAUUGUACCGCCGCUGUAAGCUGGAGGAGAUGGGCUUCAAGGACACCGACCCUGACAGCAAACCAUUCAGUUUACAGGAGACAUAUGAGGCGAAAAGAAACGAGUUCCUGGGGGAGCUCCAGAAGAAAGAAGAGGAGAUGAGACAGAUGUUUGUCCAGAGAGUCAAAGAGAAGGAAGCAGAGCUCAAGGAGGCUGAAAAAGAGCUGCAUGAGAAGUUUGACCGUCUGAAGAAACUGCACCAGGAGGAGAAGAAGAAGCUGGAAGAUAAGAAGAAGUGUCUGGAUGAGGAAAUGAAUGCUUUCAAGCAGAGAAAGGCGGCAGCCGAGCUGCUCCAGUCUCAGGGCUCUCAGGCUGGAGGCUCGCAGACUCUGAAAAGAGACAAAGAGAAGAAGAACUUUUUUUAACCUUGUCUUCAGCAGCUGUGCUAAGUCUAAAGGAGAAGAUUGCCAUUAUAGAAGAGUUAGUUAGGGCUCCAUACUGUCUCAAGCAAGAAACCAACCAGUCCCCCUCCCCUGCAACUGCGCACAUAUACACCACACUCAACAAGUGUACAUGUGUCCCUGUGUCCAGGCGAGAAGCUCUCUUCUGACUUACAUGGUGUUUCACAUGGAAUUGUCUUGUCCUAAACUCACAAGGCAGGAAAAGAAUCAUCAGACUGGAAAUGGACCAAAUGUAACCUCAGAGAGACAACAACAGGACCACUCACCCAGGUGUUAAGUGACUGGCAGGAGACCUCAGCUGUGAGUGUGGAAGUGCUGUUCACAAGGUUUUGAGUUUGAUGUUGUUUUCUAAAAAACAAUUCUCUGGUUCAAUGGGUUAACUGUCUUCAGACACUAUUAAGCUGAUUCUGAAUCUGGAAGAGAAAGUUGAGUGACAUUUGCAUCUUAAGCAUUCACAGACUUUCUGCAGACCCCAGCAAAAGGGGGGAGAAAUGGAACUAUUACCAUUCAGCUGAAGAAAGACAUGAGGGGGGCUUAAGCUUAGUUGAGAGCAAAGUUUCUCCACACAAACUUCCAAGGGGCUUUGCGGGUUUCGCAAGAGGUUUCUGCUCAACUUGGUAUGUUGAAGGAGAGCUUUGAUGGCGGUAAAUCUGCCUUGAAAUCAAUGGCUUUCCUUACUCUCUGAAUACCAUGUGAAUGUGCUCUUUCCUAUCCGUCCAUACCACAAACACCAACAUUCUGCUGUCUUGUCUCUUGAGAGAGCCUCUUUGCAUGUUUUCCAGAAUCUCUGUUUGUUUUUCCUUUCUUCUCUGUGGUUCUUUUUGCUGAAAUGUGUGAUCAGUCACUGCCCCUCUGGGGCUUUCAUUCUCCAGAAGAUACAUCCCAGAACCAGCACUGUUUAGCUCAUUAUCUUUCUAAUGUCCAUGUCAAUUUUCAAUAAAAUUCAAAGAAAUACUC